rnacentral:misc_RNA from 1 species
GAUGAAGAACGUAGCGAAAUGCGAUAAGUAAUGUGAAUUGCAGAAUUCAGUGAAUCAUCGAAUCUUUGAACGCACAUUGCGCCCGCCAGUAUUCUGGCGGGCAUGCCUGCUCGAGCGUCAUUACAACCCUCAGGCCCCCGGGCCUGGCGUUGGGGAUCGGCGGAGCCCCCCGUGGGCACACGCCGUCCCCCAAAUACAGUGGCGGUCCCGCCGCAGCUUCCAUCGCGUAGUAGCUAACACCUCGCGACUGGAGAGCGGCGCGGCCACGCCGUAAAACACCCAACUCUUCUGAAGUUGACCUCGAAUCAGGUAGGAAUACCCGCUGAACUUAAGCAUAUCAAUAAGCGGAGGA